rnacentral:tRNA from 1 species
CAAAUUAGAGCUUGAUAUAAGCAUUUUAUUUACAUUAAAAAGAUAACUAUUAAUUUAGUUUAAU